rnacentral:rRNA from 1 species
GUUAUAUGGUCAAGUGAAGAAGCGCAUACGGUGGAUGCCUUGGCAGUCAGAGGCGAUGAAAGACGUGGUAGCCUGCGAAAAGCUUCGGGGAGUCGGCAAACAGACUUUGAUCCGGAGAUGUCUGAAUGGGGGAACCCAGCCAUCAUAAGAUGGUUAUCUUGUACUGAAUACAUAGGUGCAAGAGGCGAACCAGGGGAACUGAAACAUCUAAGUACCCUGAGGAAAAGAAAUCAACCGAGAUUCCCUUAGUAGUGGCGAGCGAACGGGGACUAGCCCUUAAGUGGCUUUGAGAUUAGCGGAACGCUCUGGAAAGGGCGGCCAUAGUGGGUGAUAGCCCUGUACGCGAAAAUCUCUUAGUCAUGAAAUCGAGUAGGACGGGGCACGAGAAACCUUGUCUGAAUAUGGGGGGACCAUCCUCCAAGGCUAAAUACUACUGACUGACCGAUAGUGAACUAGUACCGUGAGGGAAAGGCGAAAAGAACCCCGGAGAGGGGAGUGAAAUAGAUCCUGAAACCGUAUGCGUACAAGCAGUGGGAGCCCACUUUGUUGGGUGACUGCGUACCUUUUGUAUAAUGGGUCAGCGACUUAUUUUCAGUGGCGAGCUUAACCGAAUAGGGGAGGCGUAGCGAAAGCGAGUCUUAAUAGGGCGUCUAGUCGCUGGGAAUAGACCCGAAACCGGGCGAUCUAUCCAUGGGCAGGUUGAAGGUUGGGUAACACUAACUGGAGGACCGAACCGACUACCGUUGAAAAGUUAGCGGAUGACCUGUGGAUCGGAGUGAAAGGCUAAUCAAGCUCGGAGAUAGCUGGUUCUCCUCGAAAGCUAUUUAGGUAGCGCCUCAUGUAUCACUGUAGGGGGUAGAGCACUGUUUCGGCUAGGGGGUCAUCCCGACUUACCAAACCGAUGCAAACUCCGAAUACCUACAAGUGCCGAGCAUGGGAGACACACGGCGGGUGCUAACGUCCGUCGUGAAAAGGGAAACAACCCAGACCGUCAGCUAAGGUCCCAAAGUCAUGGUUAAGUGGGAAACGAUGUGGGAAGGCUUAGACAGCUAGGAGGUUGGCUUAGAAGCAGCCACCCUUUAAAGAAAGCGUAAUAGCUCACUAGUCGAGUCGGCCUGCGCGGAAGAUGUAACGGGGCUCAAACCAUGCACCGAAGCUACGGGUAUCACUUAGGUGAUGCGGUAGAGGAGCGUUCUGUAAGCCUGUGAAGGUGAGUUGAGAAGCUUGCUGGAGGUAUCAGAAGUGCGAAUGCUGACAUGAGUAACGACAAUGGGUGUGAAAAACACCCACGCCGAAAGACCAAGGUUUCCUGCGCAACGUUAAUCGACGCAGGGUUAGUCGGUCCCUAAGGCGAGGCUGAAAAGCGUAGUCGAUGGAAAACAGGUUAAUAUUCCUGUACUUCUGGUUAUUGCGAUGGAGGGACGGAGAAGGCUAGGCCAGCUUGGCGUUGGUUGUCCAAGUUUAAGGUGGUAGGCUGGAAUCUUAGGUAAAUCCGGGAUUCUAAGGCCGAGAGCUGAUGACGAGUUGCCAUUAGGCGACGAAGUGGUUGAUGCCAUGCUUCCAAGAAAAGCUUCUAAGCUUCAGGUAACCAGGAACCGUACCCCAAACCGACACAGGUGGUUGGGUAGAGAAUACCAAGGCGCUUGAGAGAACUCGGGUGAAGGAACUAGGCAAAAUGGCACCGUAACUUCGGGAGAAGGUGCGCCGGUGAGGGUGAAGGACUUGCUCCGUAAGCCCAUGCCGGUCGAAGAUACCAGGCCGCUGCGACUGUUUAUUAAAAACACAGCACUCUGCAAACACGAAAGUGGACGUAUAGGGUGUGACGCCUGCCCGGUGCCGGAAGGUUAAUUGAUGGGGUUAGCUAACGCGAAGCUCUUGAUCGAAGCCCCGGUAAACGGCGGCCGUAACUAUAACGGUCCUAAGGUAGCGAAAUUCCUUGUCGGGUAAGUUCCGACCUGCACGAAUGGCGUAACGAUGGCGGCGCUGUCUCCACCCGAGACUCAGUGAAAUUGAAAUCGCUGUGAAGAUGCAGUGUAUCCGCGGCUAGACGGAAAGACCCCGUGAACCUUUACUAUAGCUUUGCACUGGACUUUGAAUUUGCUUGUGUAGGAUAGGUGGGAGGCUUUGAAGCGUGGACGCCAGUUCGCGUGGAGCCAACCUUGAAAUACCACCCUGGCAACUUUGAGGUUCUAACUCAGGUCCGUUAUCCGGAUCGAGGACAGUGUAUGGUGGGUAGUUUGACUGGGGCGGUCUCCUCCUAAAGAGUAACGGAGGAGUACGAAGGUGCGCUCAGACCGGUCGGAAAUCGGUCGUAGAGUAUAAAGGCAAAAGCGCGCUUGACUGCGAGACAGACACGUCGAGCAGGUACGAAAGUAGGUCUUAGUGAUCCGGUGGUUCUGUAUGGAAGGGCCAUCGCUCAACGGAUAAAAGGUACUCCGGGGAUAACAGGCUGAUACCGCCCAAGAGUUCAUAUCGACGGCGGUGUUUGGCACCUCGAUGUCGGCUCAUCACAUCCUGGGGCUGAAGCCGGUCCCAAGGGUAUGGCUGUUCGCCAUUUAAAGUGGUACGCGAGCUGGGUUUAGAACGUCGUGAGACAGUUCGGUCCCUAUCUGCCGUGGACGUUUGAGAUUUGAGAGGGGCUGCUCCUAGUACGAGAGGACCGGAGUGGACGAACCUCUGGUGUUCCGGUUGUCACGCCAGUGGCAUUGCCGGGUAGCUAUGUUCGGGAAAGAUAACCGCUGAAAGCAUCUAAGCGGGAAACUUGCCUCAAGAUGAGAUCUCACUGGAACCUUGAGUUCCCUGAAGGGCCGUCGAAGACUACGACGUUGAUAGGUUGGGUGUGUAAGCGCUGUGAGGCGUUGAGCUAACCAAUACUAAUUGCCCGUGAGGCUUGACCAUAUAACACCCAAGCAAUU